CAGCCGCGCGGGAAAACGUAGGGUGCAAGCGUUAAUCGGAAUUACUGGGCGUAAAGCGUGCGCAGGCGGUUAUAUAAGACAGAUGUGAAAUCCCCGGGCUCAACCUGGGAACUGCAUUUGUGACUGUAUAGCUAGAGUACGGCAGAGGGGGAUGGAAUUCCGCGUGUAGCAGUGAAAUGCGUAGAUAUGCGGAGGAACACCGAUGGCGAAGGCAAUCCCCUGGGCCUGUACUGACGCUCAUGCACGAAAGCGUGGGGAGCAAACAGGAUUAGAUACCCGUGUAGUCCCUGUCUCUUAUACA
rnacentral:rRNA from 1 species